GACGAACGCUGGCGGCGUGCCUAAUACAUGCAAGUUGAGCGCUGAAGGUUGGUACUUGUACCGACUGGAUGAGCAGCGAACGGGUGAGUAACGCGUGGGGAAUCUGCCUUUGAGCGGGGGACAACAUUUGGAAACGAAUGCUAAUACCGCAUACAAACUUUAAACACAAGUUUUAAGUUUGAAAGAUGCAAUUGCAUCACUCAAAGAUGAUCCCGCGUUGUAUUAGCUAGUUGGUGAGGUAAAGGCUCACCAAGGCGAUGAUACAUAGCCGACCUGAGAGGGUGAUCGGCCACAUUGGGACUGAGACACGGCCCAAACUCCUACGGGAGGCAGCAGUAGGGAAUCUUCGGCAAUGGACGAAAGUCUGACCGAGCAACGCCGCGUGAGUGAAGAAGGUUUUCGGAUCGUAAAACUCUGUUGGUAGAGAAGAACGUUGGUGAGAGUGGAAAGCUCAUCAAGUGACGGUAACUACCCAGAAAGGGACGGCUAACUACGUG
rnacentral:rRNA from 1 species